AACCAUUGAUUAAGGGGUAUGAACUCACCUGUAGUGAGUGGUACGGAUGUACUGAAGAUGUAGGAUUGCUAGGUGUCAAGUGAAGUCUUGAACACACGCUAUGAUUCUAGUUAACAUAUAAUCACACAUAUGUGUUCCCAAUUAGAUUUAAACUACUAAUUGAAAUUGUUUAGACCUCCUAGAACCUGCUAAACACUUUACAUAAGUGUUAUUAGCCUUAAGGACUUCAUCUAAAUUGUUGUAGGACCCGGCUAGUGAGUUUAGGGUUCCAAAGGACCCCAUAUAUGAGUUUACUCUCCAAUAAACUUCACACAAGGAGUUUACGGUCGUAAACCCUUGAGUUUACUGCCGUGAACUCCUAGUCUUAAUGUCCUUUGGUGUUUUGAAGUUCUAAAUGAUCCCUAGAAGCAUUCCUACUUGGUGGAUUAAUUCAUGGAAGGGUUUAGGGCACUAAUACACUCCUUUGAGGAGUUUACGGCCCCAAGGCCAUUUCCUUUUGAGUUUACUGCCGUAAACUCAUAUGGAAAGGGGUGUUUUUGUGUUUUCAAUUCCCAUACUCAUCUAGGAUAUGUUUUGGACAAUUAUCUAAGGCUAAUGAAGGCCUUAGGCACACUUUGGUACCCCCUUUUGAUGUUCACGGCCCAAGAACCAUUUCCUUUAGAGAUUACGGCCGUAAUCUCUCAUGGGGAUGGGGUUUUGAUGUUUUAGAGUCCUUAAAUUAGCUAGUAGCAAAUCAAGGUAAUUGUCCUAGGCUUUAGGAGUUAUUAAAACACUCUUUGGCCCUUGAUUUUGGAGUUCACAGUCCAAGAACUUCUUGGGCCGUGAACACCUAAAUCUUGGUGUUCAUGGAUGGUUUCUAGUCUUAUAAACACUAGCAUACAAGCCUAAGGUGGUUACAUAUCACGGGGGAAAGACUAGGCAUCAAUUUAGGAGUUUACUCCCCAAGGUGUUCUUGGGUGGUAAACUCCCGAAUCUAGUUGUUUUGCUAUGAAAUCGAUGUUAUUAAGCACAUUACUAGCUAUAUAAUACAACUAGAGAGAGGUACUCAUGAUUUGGGAUGAAAACCCGAAGAUCCAUGAGAGAGAAAAUGGCUUUUCUCUAGCUGGAAAUGUAACUAAUGAAAUAAUUUGGUUAAGAAUUAUAUAUAUAGUCCUGGGAUUUUUGGCAGAAAAUAUUUUUAUUCAAGAAAUGAAUUCUAGUAGCAUAGAGUUCUGAAAUAACAGAGUUGCACAAAACCCUAGUGCAUCCUCUCUCCUGAUAUCUCUUUAAGUGUAAAUCCUGAAUUACUCAAACUUAUACUGAAAAGUCUGAAAACUUACUGCAACUGUUCUGACUUCUAUUGAAGUGAUAUUGUUUAUACAUAAUAGAAUUUCGGGUUGUCUCGUCAUCCCCUCCUUAGAAGGAAUUUCGUCUCGAAAUUAGAAUUUAAGAAAAUAAGUAGUUACAAAUAACUAAGUAAAAAGACGAGGAUAUUUCAGUUUCAUCUGAUCCUCACGCUCCCAAGUGAAUUCCGGUCCUCGCUUAGCGUUCCAGCAAACCUUCACUAUCGGAAUACGGCUUUGUUUCGUUUGCUUGAUCUCUCGGUCCAUGAUCUCUACCGGUUCCUCCAUGAUGUUGAGGCUCUCAUUGAUCUUGAUCUCGUCGAGUGGAAUAACAAGAGUCUCGUAGGACAGACACUUUUUCAAGUUCGAUACGUGGAAGGUAGAAUGUACGUUACUGAGUUUGCGUUGUAAGUUAAGUUUGUAAGCUACUGGGCCGAUUCUUGUCAGAAUCUCGAAAGGCCCAAUGUACCUUGGAUUUAGCUUUCCACGCUUUCCGAAGCGUAUCAAGCCCUUCCAGGGUGAGACCUUCAAUAGAACGCUGUCGCCCACCUGGAAUUCCAACGGUUUCCUACGUUUAUCAGCGUAGCAUUUCUGUCGGUCUCUGGAGGCUUUCAAUCGUUCACGGAUCUGAACGAUCUUCUCCGUCAUUUCCCGUAUGAUUUCCGGACCUGUGAGAGUGCUUUCGGGAAUUUGUCCCUUAGCUAACUGGGUAUCACCCACCUCAGCCCAGCACAGAGGGGAUCUGCACUUGCGGCCAUAGAGGGCCUCGAAUGGAGCUACCUUUAUGCCCGUGUGAUAACUAUUGUUGUAGAAAAUUCGACAAGGGGUAAAUGAGUAUCCCAUGCUUUCCCAAAGUCUAUCACAUAGGCUCGCAACAUAUCUUCCAAGGUUUGGAUAGUUCUCUCACUUUGCCCGUCGGUCUGUGGAUGGUAGGCUGUACUCAUGUCCAGCCUAGUUCCUAAGGAACUUUGUAACGACUGCCAGAACCUCAAAGUGAAUCUACUAUCUCUGUCUGAGAUAAUGGAUAAGGNUCUUACAAUCUCCCUAAUGUAUGUUCGUGUGAGUUUCUCCAUCUUGUUUGUUUCUUUGAUUGGCAAGAAGUGUGCAGACUUGGUCAGUCUAUCGACGAUGACCCAUAUGGAAUCAAGUCCACCAUCGUCUUGGGCAACUUGGUUAUGAAAUCCAUACUUAUCCGCUCCCACUUCCAUUCUGGUAUCUCAGGCUGUUGUAGAAGACCGGAGGGUUUCUGGUAUUCGAUCUUGACCUUUGUGCAAGUAAGGCAUUUACUCACGAAGGUAGCAAUCUCUGCUUUCAUGUUAGGCCACCAGUAUAACUUUUUGAGGUCCAGAUACAUCUUAUCUGAUCCCGGGUGCAUGGAAUAACGAGUGUUGUGCGCCUCGUUCAUGACCAAGUCUCUGAAACCACCUAGUUUCGGGGUCCAGAUCCGGUCCAUGAAAUAAUAAGCUCCGCCACCCUUAAUCUCUAAGUUCUUAUCCAUCCCUCUUAGGGAUUCACCUGCCACAUUUUCGGGCUUCAAAGCAUCGAGCUGAGCUGCCUUAAUUUGUGUGGACAAGUGUGAAUGGAUAGUCAUAGGCAAUGAUUUGACUCUACGACAAGAAUAUUCCUUCCGACUCAGGGCUGCAGCUACUACGUUGGCUUUACCCAGAUGAUAACGAAUUUCGCAUUCGUAAUCACUGAGUAGCUCGACCCACCGUCAUUGUCUCAUGUUGAGCUCCUUCUGGUCGAAAAUGUGUUGUAAGCUCUUGUGGCCUGUAAAGAUAGUGCUCUUCAUUCCUUACAAGUAAUGUCUCCAGAUCUUUAGGGCAAACACAACUGCUCCUAAUUCAAGAUCGUGGGUCGUGUAGUUGACCUCAUGUGUUUUCAGCUGUCUCGAGGCAUAGGCGAUGACUUUACCUUGCUGCAUCAGAACACAUCCAAGUCCUUGAUUCGAUGCAUCGCAAUAGACAACGAAGUCUUCUAUUCCUUCGGGAAGGGAUAGUAUUGGCGCGGUGCACAAGGCUCGUUUGAGCAUUUGGAACGCUCUCUCCUGCUUCUCUUCCCAGUCAAAGGCCACGCCCUUCUGGGUUAGUGUUGUAAGAGGUUUCGCUAUGCGGGAGAAGUUUUGAAUGAACCUGCGGUAGUAACCAGCGAGGCCUAGAAAUUGACGAAUUUCCGUAGGAGUCUUCGGUGCUGACCAGUUCUCAAUGGCCUUGAUUUUGGAAGGGUCCAUGUGUAUACCCUCUUCGCUAACCACGUGCCCUAAGAAUUCCACUCGCCGAAUCCAAAAUUCGCAUUUCGAGAACUUCGCGUAGAGCUUCUCUGUACGUAAUGUUUCGAGGACUUGACGCAGAUGUUGAUUAUGCUCCUCCUUACUUCGAGAGUAGAUAAGUAUGUCAUUGACGAAGACGAUGAUAAACUGAUCCAAGUAAGGACGACACACCCUAUUCAUUAAGUCCAUGAAUACAACAGGCGCGUUUGUCAAUCCGAACGGCAUCACUACGAAUUCGUAGUGCCCAUAACGAGUUCGGAAGGCUGUCUUUGGAACAUCCUCCCCUUGCACUCGUAGUUGGUGAUAUCAGGAUCUCAAGUCGAUUUUUGAAAAGAAGUUCGCCCCUUGUAGUUGGUCAAAAAAAUCGUUGAUCCGAGGUAAAGGAUAACGAUUUUUAACCGUCAGCUUGUUGAGCUCCCUGUAGUCGGUGCACAUACGCAACGAUCCGUCUUUCUUCUUGACGAAAAAGACUGGAGCUCCCUAGGGUGAGAAGCUUGGUCUUAUGAAGCCCUUGCUGAGCAGUUCGUUAAGUUGACCGGGCAGUUCUUGCAUCUCUGCAGGUGCUAGACGAUAUGGCGAUUUGGCUAUUGGGGUUGCCCCUGGAACUAUGUCGAUUCGGAACUCGACUUGACGUUGCGGAGGUAAUCCUGGGAGUUCUUCUGGAAAGAUGUCAGGAAAUUCUUGUACUACUGGAAUGUUCUGAAUGCCCUUCGUUUCUUAGCUAACAUCGACCACAUGAGCAAGGAAUGCACGACAUUCCUUUCGCAAGAAUUUAUGAGCCUGAAUGCUCGAGAUGAUAGGAAGGUUCGUGCCGGAUUUGUCUCCAUAGACUACUAAGGUUUCGCCAGACAGCAGAUUAAGGCGAACAACCUUUUCGUAACACAUGAUAUCGGCACGAUGGAGACUCAGCCAAUCCAUACCGAUAAUGACGUCGAAUCUUUUAAUUGAGAUCGACAUAAGAUCGAUAGAAAAUGAAUGGUUAUCUAAAUUUAGGGUACACCCUACGAAUAUAUUGCUAGUGCUCUCUGUCUUCCCAUUAGCCAUUUCUACAGUGAACGGUUCAUUAAGUGCUCGUGAUUUUUGCCUAAGUAAAUGAGCAAAAUUUUGGUUCACGAAACUCCUCUCCGCUCCACUAUCAAAUAGAAUGCAUACAUAAGAGUUAUCGAGGAGGAACGUACCAGUGACCACUGUAGGGUCGGCAACCGCUUCCUCAUGGCCUAUGGACAGAACUCUUGCCGCUCCACCGGAAAACCUUACCUUCGGGCAGUUUCUUUUGAAGUGGCCUACUUCGCCACAUCCGUAGCAAGUUUGGCCCGCUCCAGCACCGGGGGAUUGGUUCAUUGGCUUCGCCGGAGCUUUACAGAAAUGGGUUGUGUGCCCCUUCCCGUUGCAGUUCAGACACUGCAUCUCCCGCCAUGCGCCGUUGUGAUGGAAGCUGCACUUGUUGCACUUACGUAAACUUCCAGAGUACUGCUUUACCGAAGCAGUAGCGGCAGGGGCUAUCGCAGCAUGUACUGCCACGACCUGCCUCUUCUUGGUGGCCUUAGCCUUCUUCUUGUCAUCCCAGAACUUCCGCUUGGGGUCACCGGUCCUUGCAGGCUCUGAGAUGUCCAGGAUAGUUUUUGCGGCCGGGGUACAAACCCCAUGGUUUAUGAGCCGCUGUGCCAAUCUCUUGGCACUAUCAAAUGUAGAGGGGUGUGAUGCCAAAACAUUUCCCUGGUAUGGGGGCACCAGUCCCCAUAUGUAUCUUUCGAUCUUCUUCCCCUCUGAAGGAAUCAUGUUGGGACAGAGGGCCACCAAUUCACCAAACCUGGCGGUGUAGGCGACUACGUUGGAGCCCUUCAUGGUUAGGCCCCACAGUUCUUCCUCCAGCUUUUGGAUCUCUCCCCUCGGGCACUAUUCCUCAAUCAUGAGGUCUCUCAAAGUUUCCCAGCCCAUAGCAUUAGCCACUACCAGAGAUAGUGACUUAACAUGGCCAUUCCACCACGUUAGGGAUUUGGUUUCAAAGGUGCAAGCAUCAUACUUCACCUUGCUCUCCUCGGGACAAGAGCAGAUUUCGAAAACCGAUUCGGUUUUCUCGAACGAUUGCGAGAGGGAAAUGACUCCGCCAGUCCCCUUGAAGGACAAUGGUUUGCAGUUCGUGAAGUCCUUAUAGGAACACUCUCUCGAGUGUACAGGAGCUUCCAUCUGAACAGACUGAACAGGGGUUCCUCCUCCAGUGGAACCCGAUGAAUGAUAUUGAGCCAUGGCUGUAGCCAUAGCCGCAGCUACGGCAGCAUUUAGAGCUAUCGUAUCGAACUGAGGAGUAGGUGGUUAAGGAGGUGGUGUUUCGUUAUUGAGAUUUCUCCUUGGAUUUCUGCGAGACGGCAUCUUUGAUCUAUAGUUUAUGAAGGUGAAAAUAUUGAUAAGAUUUCAAUAGAAGAAUUGAUGAGGAUGACUCAUGGACUAACUCUCCAUACCCCAAUGAUACGAUUGAAUGGAAAUCUAGAUAUAAUAGAUGAUCACAGUUGGAUGAUAAUUCCCAUAAGAUUAGGUACUUGUCAAUAUUACUGGGAUUACAGACGUAAUAAGUUCGGGAAAAACAGUCAACUAAAAGAGGCCUUACAUCAACGAAAAAGGGAAAAUUUUGAGAACAUUACAACCUAAUCAAGACCUAACAUGUCUAUGAUUUACAAAGGUAGGGAAUUAGACCAGAGUUUUUUUCAUAAUUAGGUUAUAUCCAAAAGAUAGAAGUUGAUGAAAAUCUAUCGGCGACGAGAACUACCAGAGUGAGUUCUUGAUCCCAACAGAAGAUGCAUGUCCCUCAUGCGCCUAUCAACCCUUGCUUGCUGAGCUCGAAGUUCUCUGACUUCAGCUUGGAUUUCAAUGAGUUCCCUCUUAAGAGCUGCAUUGCGAACUAGAGUCCUUUCUUGGGCAGACUCCAAUUGGCGAAUGCGGACAGUGUUGACACCAGAGUUGGCAUCAAUUUCCAUGAUUCCAUCGAUGGCUGCUUGACCCUGCUCACCAUUACGAGCUAUUCUGCGAAUCAUGACAGGCAGAGCCCGAUCAGCAGAGCCACCUUCGCUGACGUUGUAAAAGCUUGGGUCCCCAAAGUAAGUUAAGGGUUGUCCCUGCUCAUCGCUCCAGCNACAAGGGUGUGGGUCCUGGAAAUGCUAGACGAGGGUUGUUGUUAGGGGCUUGACCUAUUGGUGGUAGGUUGUUGACUUCUGGCUCUGAGUUAGAACCAUCAGAAAAGCCUUCAGCUUCAUGAUCAUCCAAAGGGAUUGGGUGAUCAUCUUCUGACUCAUCUUCUAGCCAUCCUGCAUUGCCUUGGUUGGGAUUGUACGGGUCUCCGGGAAGGUGGAAUCCAGCCAUUAAAUCUACGCGAGAAGGGAGGUAUAAGAAUCUAACACAUAAGUAACUCAUAGUAAUGUAAAAUACUCCUAUAGUAUUUUAAGUUUAGGUUCUGUUGUUCUCAUUGUGGUAUUGUAGGUAAGUUUUUAGACUUGUUGCAACCUCACAACCACACUUAGGCACAUGCUAGUCAACCCUCGGAUAAUAUAGUUGAUUAGACUAUAUCUUCCUAGUUUUGACCAUAUGUAUCUAAGUCUAAUUGUGUUGCCCAACAAUCGUAAUACUUUUGUACAGUCUUAGUGACAUUGAUUUUAGAAUGAAUGCAGGCACGUAUACUUAAUUAAAUAUUUUAAAUAUUUAAAGUAUAAACUCUUGGUCAGAGUAUUUUAAUCCUAAUGUAUUUAUAGUUAGUAUAUCUUGUAUGGGUUGAUAUACUCAAUUCAGUAUAAACAAUUCUCUAAUACCAAUCCGUCACACCCCAAAACCAUGAAUGGCGGAAACAUUCUGGGGCGGAGGACGUUAUGUACAGUAUCACAAACAAUGAAUAAUAGUAAACAAGCAACAACAUCAUCCAUUGCAUUAUUAGUAUAAUUUCAUACAUGUGUGUUCUGUCAAAGAUAUAGACACCAAAAAUAUACAUAACAAAAAUAACAGAUGAGUCUUGAACGAACUCCGUCUUCUCAAAAGCUUGGCACCUGUACCUGUCUAGUGGUGACCUGAGAAUACAAGUUAUUUUGAAAGCGAGUAUCAGCUUAAAGCUGGUGAGAUCAUAAGUAUAUUAAUGUAUGACUUUGUAUGAAAACAUUUGUAAAAUGUUUUUGUAAGUUGUUUUGUAUAAUGUUUGAACUCUCCUAGAAAACCCUAUGUUUUCUACUAACUGUAUCCUUCUACCAAGGCAUCUAGUGUCUCUGUGUAUGUCUCUUGUUAGAGUGUGUGUUUUCCCAAUUAAGACUAUCAUUAACAAAAAUAUAGUUUCUACAUUACCGUGCAUCGUGUGAAUAUUCACGAAGUGAAUGUAAAAGGGGAAAAUAUUAUCGUACCGUAGUAUUUGUAAUAAGUGACUACCGUGGUACUAACUACCUUAAAACAAAAGGUGUUCCAAGUAACAUGUGAUCAACCUGUAUCCUACUACCGACUCUAGUACAAUGACGAUGUAAGACGCCGUAAGAAAUGACAUUUGGCACCCGUAGACUUGCAAGUCCCACUGUAGCGAGUAACAAGGUGUAGGAUAGUCAAUCCAGUAUAGAUCUAUAUGCAAAAUCAUACGCUCCCCAAUUAAGGAGAUUUGGGAUACAAGAGCAGUCGUGGAAGGAAGUGCCAUGACCCACUCAAUGGUUCACUUAACUCCAUGAAUGUAUAUGUAAUGAAUGUGCUGACUGAAAGUGUAAUCUUCCUCUGUCUAGCCUGAAUGUACUAAAAUGUUCUAUCUGUGCUAGCUGUAAUGUAUGUUCUCUAUAUCUUGCAUGUAUAGUAAUGUACAGUGCGUACUAACUGUAAUGUACUGUAAGUAUUACCCGUACUGACUCAUGAAUGAACUGACUCAUUGUAUGUUUCAUUGUUCUAGUAAUAGUAAUAGUAUCUUCCUGUGCUACCCCUAUGGUAACUUACUAGUGAUGUAACUGGCACGUAUGAACAUGGAAGUAUACCCUUGCUACCCCAAAGGUACCGAAUGAACUGGAACGACCUUUAUGACUAUAUAUGUACACAUGAUAUAUAACUAAUAUUUAAACGACCUUCGGACGAGUACCCGAUAUUCCACCAGACCACAUCCAAAUCGAGGAAAAGGAAAUAGGGCGGGCAGGCCUUCCUAAGCUUUUUAAACAUUGCUUAUAUAACUGUACAUACCUAGACAUGCAAUUGAUAAUAAGUAAAACAGAGUUUAAGUAAAUGUAUCUGAUAAGUAUAACAACUUGUAAAACAGUUUGAAGCAAAACAAUUUGAUAAACAAUUUGAACAAUAAUGUAAAUCACUGGCUUUGUAGUUAUUAAUCACAUGUGAUUGAUGUAAUAACUAUAAGUAUUUGACUUGUAUCCCNUUAAAGCAUUUAAAAAACAUUUAAACCAUUGAUUAAGGGGUAUGAACUCACCUGUAGUGAGUGGUACGGAUGUACUGAAGAUGUAGGAUUGCUAGGUGUUAAGUGAAGUCUUGAACACACGCUAUGAUCCUAGUUAACAUAUAAUCACACAUAUGUGUUCCCAAUUAGAUUUAAACUACUAAUUGAAAUUUUUUAGACCUCCUAGAACCUGCUAAACACUUUACAUAAGUGUUAUUAGCCUUAAGGACUUCAUCUAAAUUGUUGUAAGACUCGGCUAGUGAGUUUAGGGUUCCA
rnacentral:lncRNA from 1 species